GUGGGGAAUCUUCCGCAAUGGACGAAAGUCUGACGGAGCAACGCCGCGUGAGUGAUGAAGGUCUUCGGAUUGUAAAGCUCUGUUAAUCGGGACGAAAGAGCCUAGUGUGAAUAAUGCUAGGAAGUGACGGUACCGGAAUAAAAAGCCACGGCUAACUACGUGCCAGCAGCCGCGGUAAUACGUAGGUGGCAAGCGUUGUCCGGAAUUAUUGGGCGUAAAGCGCGCGCAGGCGGAUCUGCCAGUCUGUCUUAAAAGUUCGGGGCUUAACCCCGUGAUGGGAUGGAAACUACAGAUCUAGAGUAUCGGAGAGGAAAGUGGAAUUCCUAGUGUAGCGGUGAAAUGCGUAGAUAUUAGGAAGAACACCAGUGGCGAAGGCGACUUUCUGGACGAAAACUGACGCUGAGGCGCGAAAGCCAGGGGAGCGAACGGGAUUAGAAACCCCUGUAGUCC
rnacentral:rRNA from 1 species